AUAGAAUUUGAGAAACCAACUUCCUAUUUUAAGUUCCAUCAUUUAGAUGGAAGAUUUUCUUUUAAGCACGAGGAAAUAAGGAAAUUCUAGAGGAACUUUUGUACUUUAUAAGUUAUGUAUAUCAAACACGGAACUUCUAUAGUAAUGAGAAAGUUCAUUCUUCCUCCCCCUAACUUCCUAUUAUCAAACACCCCCUCAACUAUAUUGCUAAACUAAGAAGUGGAGUUUCCCACUUGGGAGUAGAGAGUCACAUACAUACGGCUAAACCAGGGAGAACGGGGGUGCAUGAGGUGGUUAGAAGAAAGAGGAGCAUGUGACAUGGUUUUUGCCCUGAAUUAUACAGCUACAAAGAGGGGAGUAUGAUGGACCAAGGUGGGCACCAAGGGCACUGUAGUGUUGGAGUGCCAGAUUGUAUGAUAAGGACCAUAGCCAUGGGGAUUUCAACGUGGCCGGAGCUAUUCGGAUGAUGGAUGGUUACUGGAAACUGGUCCACAGAUGGACAUGCGAAACAAGUAGGUAGGAACCCAAGGGCCUCCCAAAGAAAUUGAAGGGUCGGAUACAAGACGCAUCAGGGGCAGCGGAUAUAAUUGCCAAGACCUAAUAUUUUCUGUCAGGACCAAAUACCAACAUGUUGCACCUUUGUUUGUUGAUACAAUUGCUAUUUUCUAUCAGACAUGGAGGAUAGAAGUCAUAUAUGAUAUACACAUAUGCUCGCCGCCAUCGAGAGUGUGCCACGCUCUCUAAAGGGGUUUCCCUUGGAGGAAUCCGGCAAAAUCCUUACGACGCAGGAUCAGACCACCUAUGGACUUCGUCACAUUGGCUCUUCUUCACUCGAGUCGUCCUACAACAGGCUCUCACGAAAUUUAGGGGAUCUUUCGGUAACCACAUCGAUGGUAGGGAAAGAAGAUUGAUCAGCGAGGGGUGGCUACCUGUACCUUGCCGAGGCCCAGGCUCUUAGCAGCCUGCUCUGCAGCUUGUAAUUGGGCAAUCAAGUCCUUUCCUUCUCCCAAACCUUCACAUAAUUUACGUUCUUCAUAAUGUUAUAAGCAACAUGAUUAUAUCUUAUCACUCUGAGGGUAUGAUCCUGUCUUGAAGAGGUUCACUAUUGCUAGUAUACCUGUGAAAGAUGGGUCAGAGACCUCAUUUGGUCGAUGAUAUCCAUCAUUUCUAAUGUGCGUAUGAUGAAGUCACCGAGCUCCCCAUCGUAUUCUUCUGUGAAGUGUUCGACUUCCCCAUAUCCUCGAGCUGUCAGUUCUUCAUAAAUCAUGAAUUCCGAAUCCUCUUCUAGUUAGAAAUUUGCAUC